GCGACCGCGACUUCCUCGACUCCAGCUUCUCCGGCGCAAGCGGAUUUUUGCACCAACACUACCCAUGCAACAAUCAAGCACUGUAAGUCAACAUGCAUACGUCGUAUGCUUUGGCUCUGAAAAGCAGACACUAAAAAAUUUUAGCUGAUCUUCAUUUUCUGACUCAUUGCUUCAAAUGUCUACAUUAAUUUUCAAGGAAUUGAAAAUUAUGUAAUUGCAAUUGGGGGACAAAAUCAACCAUUGCAAUAGCACAAAGAAAAAGAAAAACAAUUCAUAAAAAACAAACCUAGGAAACACCCUCAAGCUCAUAUUUAAGUUUUUUUUCGGAGGAGAAAAGAACUCAUGAACAAUAAAGAAUCUGAUGAACGAUAAUAAUUUCACACCCAUCCUAAACAAAACCUGUCCUCUUACCAUUAUUAUCCAAACUGGCUGCCAACUCUUAUUUUCUUAAUUAUUUCUGUUACUCCUGCAAAUCAUAUCUAAAAUUCAACUAGAUUUUAGCGGUUUCCAACCUCUAUCCUUUCUUACUCUCUCUCACGAUAUGAAUUAGAAACCUCUGAAAUCUCCCAACUUUUCCCAAGAAAAUUUGAUAGACUUCUCCAAAUGCAUGCAGUCAAUUUAUUCUCUUUCCUGUCUUUAAAUAAGAAGGAAAUCCAUGCAAAAUAUUUACAAAUAACAUUUUUUUAAAGAAAAAGAAGAGAAUUGGUUUGCUUUACUAGGAAUAGAGCACAGAAAGACGCAAGAAAUGAGGACGAGACGAAAAAUCGAGAUCCCGGGAAGAAGAACACAUCUCGGCCUCUUCAUAUCGAUCGAGUGGGUGACGCCCAGAGCAGAGAGAAGGGUGACGCCCAGAGCGCAGAGCAGAGAGGUUUGGAGCAGGAGAGCGGUGGAGAGAAGGGCGGAGGAAUGGGGUUCUCCUCCGGUGACUUGGCGGAAAAGCUACGACCCUGGCGUUCUAAAAGGGUCUAGGAUUCAGAUCCGAACCCGGUAAAAGGAGCCGGGGUGGGUGGGGAAACGGAGUUCAAUUUGGG
rnacentral:lncRNA from 1 species